GGAGUUUGGGCCGUGUCUCAGUCCCAAUGUGGCCGAUCACCCUCUCAGGUCGGCUAUGGAUCGCGGUCUUGGUGGGCCGUUACCUCACCAACUAGCUAAUCAGACGCGGGUCCAUCUCGUACCACCGGAGUUUUUCACACUGUACCAUGCGAUACUGUGCGCUUAUGCGGUAUUAGCAGCCGUUUCCAACUGUUGUCCCCCUGUACGAGGCAGGUUACCCACGCGUUACUCACCCGUCCGCCACUCAGUCAACAAAUCGUCACCCCGAAGGGAUCGUAAUAAGUUGCUUCGUUCGACUUGCAUGUGUUAAGCACGCCGCCAGCGUUCAUCCUGAGCCAGGAUCAACU
rnacentral:rRNA from 1 species